rnacentral:lncRNA from 10 species
UGAGCCACCUCCGGCCCCCACCCUGCUGGAAAUACUCCUUUCAUCUUCUUUAGCUAUAAAGAGCUUAGAUGUCCUUUUCCAAUAGCUAUGUUAUUCUUCUGUGAUCUUCCUGAGGAAUAGUGUGUGAGUCUAAGUUGUUGACUUAGCAGAGAAGGCCUCGUCCUGACCAGGAAAUCCCUGGUUUCCAGUGCUGUCUGUCACAGAGUGGUGAGUUGAAUUCAGAGAAGAACCUCUUCGCUACCAGACCUAAGGCAACCUUCUCCCACCCAACCUGAAUAAAGAUUCAAACACAUGAUCUAGAAGUUGAGAAGUUUCCAGAGAGUCAGAUAUCCUGCCUAAGAUCUUUUCACUUCUUCUUACCACGUAUAAAUAAAAGACGACAUUUUUGAGGCAUGAAACACCGAGUCUCACACUCAUUUGUCCUCUUAUCAUCUCCCUGUCUCUUCUGGCUCAAGAAUCCAAAAGCCAGUAUUCCAUUCCUAGCUUUGGCAGAAGAUGAGAAGCAGAGAAAAAUGAAAUGGAAAUAUCAGUCAGAGAAUACUUGCCUUUAUUGUAUUUUCUUUCCUAAAACUAAUUAUUCUGGCUUGAGAAGGAGAAGAAUAAUAAAACGCUG